rnacentral:rRNA from 1 species
GAUGAACGCUGGCGGCGUGCCUAAUACAUGCAAGUCGAGCGAACAGACGAGGAGCUUGCUCCUCUGACGUUAGCGGCGGACGGGUGAGUAACACGUGGAUAACCUACCUAUAAGACUGGGAUAACUUCGGGAAACCGGAGCUAAUACCGGAUAAUAUAUUGAACCGCAUGGUUCAAUAGUGAAAGACGGUUUUGCUGUCACUUAUAGAUGGAUCCGCGCCGCAUUAGCUAGUUGGUAAGGUAACGGCUUACCAAGGCGACGAUGCGUAGCCGACCUGAGAGGGGGAGCGGCCACACUGAGAGUAAGAAACGGGAGAGACACAGACGGGAGGCAACAGCAGGGAAUCUGCCACAAAGGGCGAAAGACGGAAGGAGAAACGGAGCGGGAGUGAAGAAGGUUGUCGGAACGUAAAACUCUUUUAUAAGGGAAAAAAAAAUGUGAAAGUAACUAUGCCCGUCUUGACGGUCCCGAAUCAGAAGGCAACGGCUAACUACGG